rnacentral:lncRNA from 1 species
UUUUAUAUUUUCUCUCAUUUCUCUUAUAUCACUUUUCACUUCCCUCAUUCACCGCGAGAAUCACUUUUUCUUCCUCUUAUUCUUUAUUUUCUCUUCCUCUUCCUCCUAUGUAAAAACCUAAAUAGACAUUCUUCUUCAUUUUCCAAUUAAAAUCAAAUCCACAUCUUAAAUCGUAGAAAGUUGGCGACGAGAUUCCGAUUGUCGUGGUUCAGUAUAUCGUCGGUGGUGCGUCGGGGAAAGAAGGGGCGAAUUUGAUGUGCAAGAUGGUGGUCGAUUUAUCUUGUUAUGAUUGAAUAACAUGUUAUAUAAACUUCUUCCAAUUUCCUUUGUUUUCUUAGGGUUUUGUGUAGUUGAAGUUCAAAACUGCUAUUAAUGAAAAUGAUAAUGAUGGUAUUGUCUUUGUCGAUUUGUUAUAUUAUUGUAUUUUUUCAUGUUGAUGGUGAUUGUUGUUUGUUGAUUUGUUGUUGGUGUGGUUAAAGGUUGAUGAAGAAGGUGGUGAUAUAAGUUUGAAUGGUGAUGAUAUGUUGAAGAUGGUGAGUUAUUCCUAUGUAUUUGAACCAUAUGUUUCUGAUUUGCUGUUUUUCACUGCAGUGUGCGAUUUCGCUGUGGUAUAUAUGUGGUGGCGACAAUCAUGAAUUUCUAAAGCACUUAUUCACAUAUUGUCAACAAGAUCGAAUGUAGGACAUUAUUUUUAGUGUAUUCUACUUGAAGCCUUUUCUUACUAAUGUAGUAAACGUAUCAUUUCAUAAGCUCAGAGAUUGAUUAUGUUUUUCUUUUUUCGUUUUGGGAGCUUGGGAAUAGUCAGUCCUUAUAAUUUUGAGUCGUGUUAUACUAAUAACAUGUUGUGGCCAUGUAAUUUAUGAGCUUAUGAAGUGUAAUUUGGAGCUAUUUAAUUUAUGAAGUGUUCCAAUUUUGUUAGGAUACCUUAUGCAGGAAUUGAUGUUAUUGGUUGUUAUUGUAUAUUAUAUUGUUAUAGAAGAGUAUGUUGGAAAUCAUACCUGCAUAUUCUUCCACCACUUUGUGUUGCA